GCAGUAGCAACAGCUAGGCAAGAUAUACAGAGGCAUCCUCAGUUCCAGCCCCAGCGCCAGGAAAACAGCCACAGAUGUAGCAGCAGCCAUCAGUAUCACACUUGGAAAGCGGCUGAAAAAAAGAACCCAGAACUUGCUUGUGGAAACAGCACGUGGAAAAUAAAUAAAUACCUGGUUUUUG